rnacentral:siRNA from 1 species
UAGAUGUUUUUAGGGUUUUA